UACGUAGGGGGCAAGCGUUGUCCGGAAUCAUUGGGCGUAAAGAGCGUGUAGGCGGCUCGGUAAGUCCGCCGUGAAAGUCCAGGGCUCAACCCUGGAAUGCCGGUGGAAACUGUCGAGCUAGAGUCCGGAAGAGGCGAGUGGAAUUCCUGGUGUAGCGGUGAAAUGCGCAGAUAUCAGGAGGAACACCAAUGGCGAAGGCAGCUCGCUGGGACGGUACUGACGCUGAGACGCGAAAGCGUGGGGAGCAAACAGG
rnacentral:rRNA from 1 species